AUUGAACGCUGGCGGCAUGCCUUACACAUGCAAGUCGAACGGUAACAGGUCUUCGGAUGCUGACGAGUGGCGAACGGGUGAGUAAUACAUCGGAACGUGCCUAGUAGUGGGGGAUAACUACUCGAAAGAGUGGCUAAUACCGCAUGAGAUCUACGGAUGAAAGCAGGGGAUCGCAAGACCUUGUGCUACUAGAGCGGCCGAUGGCAGAUCAGGUAGUUGGUGGGAUAAAAGCUUACCAAGCCGACGAUCUGUAGCUGGUCUGAGAGGACGAUCAGCCGCACUGGGACUUGGACACGGCGCAGACUUCUACGGGAGGCAGCAGUGGGGAAGUUUGGACUAUGGGCGCAAGCCUGAUCCAGCAAUGCCGCGUGCAGGAUGAAGGCCUUCGGGUUGUAAACUGCUUUUGUACAGAACGAAAAGCCCUGGGUUAAUACCCUGGGGUCAUGACGGUACCGUAAGAAUAAGCACCGGCUAACUACGUGCCAGCCGCCGCCGUAACAC
rnacentral:rRNA from 1 species